GCAUUGGGUCGAUGGAAGAGCAAACAACAAAGGGAAAAGGAAGAAUGGAGAGAUCGAUGAAAUGCUUGUCUUUUUAGUUU
rnacentral:ribozyme from 12 species